AGUGAACGCUGGCGGUAGGCCUAACACAUGCAAGUCGAACGGCAGCACAGUAAGAGCUUGCUCUUACGGGUGGCGAGUGGCGGACGGGUGAGGAAUACAUCGGAAUCUACUUUUUCGUGGGGGAUAACGUAGGGAAACUUACGCUAAUACCGCAUACGACCUACGGGUGAAAGCAGGGGAUCUUCGGACCUUGAGCGAUUGAAUGAGCCGAUGUCGGAUUAGCUAGUUGGCGGGGUAAAGGCCCACCAAGGCGACGAUCCGUAGCUGGUCUGAGAGAAUGAUCAGCCACACUGGAACUGGGACACGCUCCAGGCUCCUACGGGAGGCAGCAGUGGGGAAUAUUGGACAAUGGGCGCAAGCCUGAUCCAGCCAUACCGCGUGGGUGAAGAAGGCCUUCGGGUUGUAAAGCCCUUUUGUUGGGAAAGAAAAGCAGCAGGUUAAUACCCCGCUGUUCUGACGGUACCCAAAGAAUAAGCACCGGCUAACUUCGUG
rnacentral:rRNA from 1 species